UAGGGAAUCUUCCGCAAUGGGCGAAAGCUUGACGGAGCAACGCCGCGUGAGUGAUGAAGGUCUUCGGAUCGUAAAACUCUGUUAUUAGGGAAGAACAAAUGUGUAAGUAACUAUGCACGUCUUGACGGUACCUAAUCAGAAAGCCACGGCUAACUACGUGCCAGCAGCCGCGGUAAUACGUAGGUGGCAAGCGUUAUCCGGAAUUAUUGGGCGUAAAGCGCGCGUAGGCGGUUUUUUAAGUCUGAUGUGAAAGCCCGCGGCUCAACCGUGGAGGGUCAUUGGAAACUGGAAAACUUGAGUGCAGAAGAGGAAAGUGGAAUUCCAUGUGUAGCGGUGAAAUGCGCAGAGAUAUGGAGGAACACCAGUGGCGAAGGCGACUUACUGGUCUGUAACUGACGCUGAUGUACGAAAGCGUGGGGAUCAAACAGG
rnacentral:rRNA from 1 species